rnacentral:piRNA from 1 species
UGCUGUGCUAGUCAUGUUUUUGAGCAGAG